UCUUGAAGGUAAAUUGACCUGAGUACUAUGAACGAACAAAGAUUUAAAACUCAAAGGACUUGGCGGUGUCUUAGACCGUUUAGGGGAACCUGUCUCGUAAUCGAUAGUCCACGUUAUACCUGACCUUUUUUUGUUAUCAGUUUGUAUACCGUUGUCGUCAGGUAACUUUUUAGAAAAGGGAAGUUAGCAAGUAGAAAGAUUAUUUAGUACGUCAAAUCAAGGUGCAGCUAAUAGAAAGGGGAGGAUGGGUUACAGUUAUUAUUUAUAAUUUUACGGAAGGAGGACUUAAAAGUAAAUUGAAUAAAAGUAAUUUGAAUUAGGCUCUGAGACGUGU
rnacentral:rRNA from 1 species